UUGUGAGGUUAAGCGACUAAGCGUACACGGUGGAUGCCCUGGCAGUCAGAGGCGAUGAAGGACGUGCUAAUCUGCGAUAAGCGUCGGUGAGGUGAUAUGAACCGUUAUAACCGGCGAUUUCCGAAUGGGGAAACCCAGUGUGUUUCGACACACUAUCAUUAACUGAAUCCAUAGGUUAAUGAGGCGAACCGGGGGAACUGAAACAUCUAAGUACCCCGAGGAAAAGAAAUCAACCGAGAUUCCCCCAGUAGCGGCGAGCGAACGGGGAGGAGCCCAGAGCCUGAAUCAGUGUGUGUGUUAGUGGAAGCGUCUGGAAAGGCGCGCGAUACAGGGUGACAGCCCCGUACACAAAAAUGCACACAUUGUGAGCUCGAUGAGUAGGGCGGGACACGUGGUAUCCUGUCUGAAUAUGGGGGGACCAUCCUCCAAGGCUAAAUACUCCUGACUGACCGAUAGUGAACCAGUACCGUGAGGGAAAGGCGAAAAGAACCCCGGCGAGGGGAGUGAAAAAGAACCUGAAACCGUGUACGUACAAGCAGUGGGAGCCUCUUAAUGGGGUGACUGCGUACCUUUUGUAUAAUGGGUCAGCGACUUAUAUUCUGUAGCAAGGUUAACCGAAUAGGGGAGCCGAAGGG
rnacentral:rRNA from 1 species